UCAAAUUGCUUAAUAAAGCAACAUAAAUUCAUAAUAGCAGCUUUAAAAGCACUUAUGUCUUUGUUUUUUUUUGUGUCAUUUUAAAUUCAGGUCAAUCGUCUGUGUUAGGACCUUGGGCUGUCUACCCAAGUGCCUGACUAAAUUAACAAAACAGGAAACAUUGACAAAUACCGAUGGUAGUAGAGCCAUUCCUAAGGGUUUAUUUGAUCCGCUGUACAUUCAGACGAAAAUGCUGCAAUUACUCCUUCUGCACUUCCUGUUCGAUGCACUUGUGUACCGGCAUUGGCGUCGACUCUAAUCAAAUCCAAACCUGGGGAUGCCGGUGUUAUGCAACUAAAACGUAUCCGUCUUUCUAAGAAUUCAAGGUUGCAACUUUGCGAUCCUGAUGGGAUUACAGAGUGGGAGGAAGAGAUUACAACGUGGCCCGAUGUUCAUCUUUAUUUUGUGGAGAAGCCAACUGUUUGCACCAGAGACAAAACUGCGAGCCCUGCUUGGACCAUCGUCAACAGAAAGGAGAACUACAUCCGCAUAGAUCUUGCAUUUCAGGCCAUUUUGUGGGAACUAUAUGGGGAAUUUCCCUUAGCGGCUCCCAGUGCACAAAGCAAGGGUAAAGGAAUCCUCGGGUGAGUUUGGUGGGGAACAACUUAACCCCGGUGAACACGUUUGGGAUGCACUAGAGCAGAGCUGACGAGCAACGAGGCCCUCUCACAUUAUCCUCUGGAUGAAUGGGGCAACACGAUUCCCACAGAUGCAUCAAAAUCCUCCCAGAAGAAAGUCUUCCCAGAACCCACUUUAUUCUUCCACGAUGAACAUGUGAGAUCAAAGCAGUAGGAACAGGGCUUCAUUUUCUCGCCGAAGCGGAAGGAGGUUAUUGGCUCACACUGUGCGGAUGAGAAAGAAAUCAUUUGGAGAACGUCCUGAUGAGUGAGUGAUGUCACUUCCUGCCAUUUGCCAUUACAGUGG